AAUGAACGCUGGCGGCGUGCUUAACACAUGCAAGUCGCACGAGAAAUCACGCCUUCGGGUGUGAGAGUAAAGUGGCGGCACGGGUGAAGUAUCGCGUGUGUUACCUUCCCUAAGGCGUGCGGAUAACCUUUCGAGAGGAGGGCUAUUACCGGGUAAAGACCACGGGGUCCUCGGACCCAGGGGUCAAAAGGUGGCCUCUACAUGUAAGCCACCACCUGAGGAUGGGGCCCGCGUCCUAUUAGUUAGUUGGUAGGGUAACGGCCUACCAAGGCGACGAUAGGUAGCUGGUCUGAGAGGAUGAUCAGCCACACUGGAACUGGAACACGGUCCAGACUCCUACGGGAGGCAGCAGUGAGGAAUUUUGCGCAAUGGGGGAAACCCUGACGCAGCAACGCCGCGUGAGUGACGAAGGCCUUCGGGUCGUAAAGCUCUGUCAAGCGGGAAGAAAUCUCCAGAGGUAAAUACCCUUUGGAGUUGACGGUACCGCUGGAGGAAGCACCGGCUAACUCCGUGCCAGCAGCCGCGGUAAUACGGAGGGUGCAAGCGUUAUUCGGAAUCAUUGGGUGUAAAGGGCGUGUAGGCGGCCUGAUAAGUCAGACGUGAAAGCUCCGGGCUCAACUCGGAAAGUGCGUUUGAAACUGCCAGGCUUGAGUACGGGAGAGGAAGGCGGAAUUCCCAGUGUAUAGGUGAAAUUCGUAGAUAUUGGGAGGAACACCGGUGGCGAAGGCGGCCUUCUGGACCGAUACUGACGCUGAGACGCGAAAGCGUGGGGUAGCAUACACGAUUAAAUACCCUGG
rnacentral:rRNA from 1 species